rnacentral:piRNA from 1 species
GAUGUUAGUAAAAACAAAAUUGGC